rnacentral:lncRNA from 1 species
UAUGAGUGAUGAAGCUGAUACCAGCAAUGAUGGUGACAUGGGAAAUGAUAUGCAUGAUUUUCAUGGUAUAAAAAACUUCAAUUUUUUCAUUUUUCCUUCAUCCACCAUGCUGACCGAUUGGUUGUAUAUUUUCAGAUGGUGCAAAUGGUGCAGAUGAAUUAAUGGGUAAUGAAAAUCUGGAAAGUGAAGAAUCCCAGGAUAGCCAUGGCUUUGCAGGUACCUCAAAGAUUAGUAAGCACAACAAUGCAACUGAAUUAGUUGAUGAAAAUAUGGAAUGUGAAGAAGUGCAGGGUAACCAUGGCCUUGCAGCUACGUCCAAGACUAGUAAUCUCAACAAUGCAACUUGAUUAGUUGAUACUUCAUUCGGACCGCUACAAUAUAAAUUGUAGCUUGAAUGUUUUUCUUGUUUUCUACUUGAUUAACAUAUUUCUUUCAAAUGGUGCAGGACCUCGAACAGGUGAAAAGCGUAGGGUCCGUGGGAAAAAUAAAUGCAAGGAAGUAGCUGAUCUCAUGG